GUAAGCAAAUAUAGGCAGUACAGAAAAAUAAAUAAAAAAUCAGAACGAAUGUGAAUUAACCGAUUCCGGCUCCAUUACCUAUAAUAUUUUUACAAUUUUUCUAAUUUUUCACUAAACACACAAUUAUCGAUUAUUGAUCCUCAAUUUAUUGUAACCGAGAAUAGAGUGAGGGAUCCUUACCCAGAUCGGUGUUUUGAGACGUUGCACUAUCUACUACGUCUUCAAACGAGUCCCAAAUUUCUUGAAUUUUCCUGUGUAAAUUAAAAAUACUUGUC
rnacentral:lncRNA from 1 species